rnacentral:rRNA from 1 species
AACGAACGCUGGCGGCAUGCUUAACACAUGCAAGUCGAACGAGACCUUCGGGUCUAGUGGCGCACGUGUGCGUACCGCGUGGGGACCUGCCCUUAGGUUCGGAAUACCUCCCCGUAGGGGAUGCUCAUACCGGAUAAUGUCAUAGGACCAAAGAUUUUUGGCUUUUGGAUGGGGCCGGGUUGGAUUAGCUAGUUGGUAGGGUACAAGCCUACCAUUGCGAGGAUGCAUAGCUGGUCGGAGAGGAGGAUCAGCUAGACUGGCACUGAGACACGGACCAGAAUCGGACGGGAGGGAGGAGUGGGGAAUAUAGGACGAGGGGCGAAAACCUGGUCCAGCAACGUCGCGGGAGUGAUGAAGGGGUUAGGAUUGUAAAGCUCUUUUACCCGGGAUGAUAAUGACAGUAACGGGAGAAGAAGCACCGGCUAACUCCGUG